rnacentral:lncRNA from 1 species
AGUUAGAACCAUUCUCCUCUUAUUGUAACAUAUAGAAAGACAUACUCACAAAGACUGAUCUCCUCUAACGUGCAAUGUAACCAACUAACCACUACCCCUUGACCAGCUGACGCCAGCAACGGCGUCGGAGCACCGGUAACAUGCAAGGAUAACCCCCACACCCUUUUUCUCUCUCCCCAGUUCUCUCUACCCUCUUCUCUUUCCUAUUCCCUGUACCCCUCCAUCGUGCGAACCACUCGUUGCUUUCGCUGGCGGUCAAGGUCUCCAUCAGCUCGACUCCGGCGACAUAGGCAGCGCGCAGCUCUAGUCACAAAUGACCAAUUUGGCGAGUCUAUUAACGGUUCUGCUAGUUCCAACCAGAUCUGAUUCUGAUAAGAUCUGAUUCCGGCGGCACUCCGAUGAAGCUCCGGCCAUAAUAUCCUGGCAGGAUCCAACAUACCACACAGGAAAAGAGGACUUGGUAUACAAGCGUAACCCGGUG